rnacentral:rRNA from 1 species
UACGUAGGGUCCAAGCGUUAUCCGGAAUCACUGGGCGUAAAGCGUGCGUAGGUGGAUGUUUAAGUGAGAGGUUAAAUCGUGUGGCUCAACCAUAUCGAUGCCUCUCAUACUGGGCAUCUAGAGGACAGCAGAGGCAAGUGGAACUGGUAGUGUAGCAGUGAAAUGCGUAGAUAUUACCAAGAACACCAAUGGCGAAGGCAGCUUGCUGGGCUACUCCUGACACUGAGGUACGAAAGCGUGGGGAGCGAAACAGG